GUGGCUCAGUGGUAGAGUGCUUGCCUUGCAUGCAUGAGGCUCUGGGUUUGAUUUCUCAGC
rnacentral:tRNA from 1 species